UUUUUCCUUCUACACCCCCGCCUCCCUUUCUUUCUUUCCUUUGACCCGUCCUGCACGAUCUCCUCUCUCCCCAACGCACGAGAGACCCGCAGCACCGCCGCCCCUGCCUAGCACUCGCUCGGGAUGCCUCUCCUCCUCCUCCUCUCACCCCCACCGCCGUCGAUCCUUCCCCGGCCACCGCCCUGUACCCUACGUGCGAGCAAGUCAGCCGAGCAGGUCAGGCGGCAGCUCCGAGAUCCGCCAAGGGCGUGGACCUGGAGCUCCAUCUCCAUGGCAGUGGCUCCCAGAUCCGCCCAGGGGCUAGGCCUAGAGCUCAUCUCCUCCAUGGUGUUGGCUUCCAGAUCCGCCCAUGGGUUGGACCUGGUGCUCCAUCUCCAUGGCGAGUUGGCUGCAUCCCCACGUCUGCUUCCGUUCGGCCGACGACGCCAUUGACGCGUGCUUCUGCUGCUCGGAUAGGUGCAUGCACCACCGGCGCUCCCGGAUCGAGCAGGUGACACAGCGGCCCUCCCGGAUCCACGACGAGCUACAUCUGGCUUGUCCUCGCGGCUGUCGGCCAUGUCCUCGACAAGGGUCACAUCUGGCCGUGACCAAGUGAGGCCCCGGAUCUGCACUCACUAGGAGGGGCAACGGCACCGAGAGGAUUCUCACGCAGCCGUCUUCCACCUUCUUCGUCUGGUUCCAGCUGUGCACGCGACGUGGAGCCUCAUCUUCGAGCUGCUUGACCUCAAGGGCGAGGUGGACGAUGACGCUCCUAUUCUUGUGUGAUGUUGCCAACAGCAAGAUGUGACAGAUAACUUGGUAAUCAUUACUCCAAUAGUGAAUAGUCGAUUAGUCGAGCGACUGCUAAUCAUCUGGUGGCCUUGGACUUGUGAUUGUGGUGUUGUGCUCUGACCAGUGGCAUGAUUUACACACUAUGGUAAUGUUAAGUUUAGGGAAAUAUGUACUGUUGCUCCUGAUCUAACCAAUUGGCCACUAUCCAGUUAUCCUGGUAUGUGUAUGGAUGUGUUUAUGUGGAUUUGGUCGAAUCUGCCUCCUCGUGUUGAUCUACUGGUCCAUGCUCUAGUUCUAAUUCCUCUGUUUGUUAUUUAUUAGGUUUGUACUGGUAGCUUGUUAGUUUUCCCUCGUGUGCUUGAAAACAUGCAAGCAGAGAGAUAGAGAGGAAUUCCUUGAUGUAGCAGGCCAGUAGCUACUUUGUCUCAGCCUUUACAUGUCUUUCUCCGUAUCUCAGUUAGAUGCACUACUGCUAGUUUAGCUGAUGCCAAUAAUAUCUUACUCAUUUUUGUAGAUCAUCCUCAUCCGAAGAAAAAUAAUAGGUUGACUCAGGCAGUCUUUUUCCGCUGCAACAGCCAUGCACAGAUGGUUCUGCCCAGUGGAUGCAGUUUCAGUUCUUCCAAUUUCCACGUGCUAGCAUUCCAAUGUCAAGCGGUCAGGGGAGACAACAAGUAGAGGUUCAGUCUGUUGGAGGAGUAUGGCGAGGUGCUGAUUCGGGCUAACCAGGGGCACACUGUGGCAGGCGACCAUAUUAGCUCAGCCCCGACUAUGAGCAGGAGCAGGUGCAUUUGCCUGUUUGUAAUGCUAUCGAAGGAGCUCCAUCCUGAAGAAUAUAGUGCUUGUGGAGCUUGUAAAUUAGUUACUCCACUUGUAGAGUUAUUUGUAGAGCAGGAGCACCAUUGUAUUGCGUGUUAUUUGUAGAGUAGGAGCUCCAUACAGAAUCUGGCUCUAUACUGAAUCUGGUUGUUGUUAUUUGAAGUGUUAUAUGUGUUUUUUCUUGGUGCCAAUAAUAUUGGUUAUUUAUUUA